GAUGAACGCUGGCGGCGUGCCUAAUACAUGCAAGUCGAGCGAACGGACGAGAAGCUUGCUUCUCUGAUGUUAGCGGCGGACGGGUGAGUAACACGUGGAUAACCUACCUAUAAGACUGGGAUAACUUCGGGAAACCGGAGCUAAUACCGGAUAAUAUUUUGAACCGCAUGGUUCAAAAGUGAAAGACGGUCUUGCUGUCACUUAUAGAUGGAUCCGCGCUGCAUUAGCUAGUUGGUAAGGUAACGGCUUACCAAGGCAACGAUGCAUAGCCGACCUGAGAGGGUGAUCGGCCACACUGGAACUGAGACACGGUCCAGACUCCGACGGGAGGCAGCAGUAGGGAAUCUUCCGCAAUGGGCGAAAGCCUGACGGAGCAACGCCGCGUGAGUGAUGAAGGUCUUCGGAUCGUAAAACUCUGUUAUUAGGGAAGAACAUAUGUGUAAGUAACUGUGCACAUCUUGACGGUACCUAAUCAGAAAGCCACAGCUAACUACGUG
rnacentral:rRNA from 1 species